rnacentral:lncRNA from 1 species
CUCACACGAGAAUCCCGUGUGCCUGCUCUCACCUGGGGUAUUCUAAGAAGGAAGCAUCUUGUUCAGCAGGGCUGAACCCCGCCAACCCAAAGUGAAAAAGUAAUUGUUGGGGAUUAAGAGGAAGGUGAAACUCAUUGAUAAAUUAGCUGUUUGAACUUUACAAUAUGAAAGAGAUCAAUCGUCGGUCAGAUAGGAAAGGUGCUUUCAGAAAUAAAGUUGCUGCAAUAACACCUAAGCUUUGUGCUGAUGAACAUGGUCACCUUGAAAGGUGUGUUGAAUAUGGCAGAGCCAGAAAAUGCAAGGAGCUUCUUCUCUGGAUCACCACUUGAAGAAGAGCCACUUGCUCCUCAGGAACCCUAUUUUGGACUGACGUUUAAUACAACAUGGAAGCCACCAAGGCUUACAGAAUGUGCUUUCCAGAGCUGUGACCUGAACUGUACCUGGGGCCUUUUGAGUGAGGCUGGAACUGGAGUGGCCUGGAUGCAGAGAGCAGUGUCCUAAGGCUGUGCAGGUUGCAAGAAAGCUCAAGUAGCCUAUGGAGAGGAUGCAAGGCUUCCAGCUGAUGCCCUCAGCCAGGCUCAGUAGCAGCCAGAACUAGCCUACCAACGAACCUGCUGAUCAUGUGCAUAAGCCACCUUGAACGUCGAUCCUCCUGCCUGGUGGAGCCAUCCCAGCUGAUGCCACAUGAAGCAGACACAAGCUGUCCCUACUAAGCUCUGCUCAAGUUGGAUAUUCAUGAGUGAAAUAAAUGACUGUUACUAAGUAAUUAAUUUUUGGGUGGCUGUUAUGUAGCAGUAGAUAAUUGGAACAAAGCUUAUUGACAUAAUACAUCUAUAUCACAUCCUCCAAUCCAUUUUUUUAAGUAAUAAAGUUGAUGUUUGUUUUGAUUUUCAGUUACAGCUUUACAUAUUUUGUCUUAAUUAGUCAAUUUUUUCCAAACUCAAAAUGGGUUUUUGUAAGAGUAGUAGUAGGGUCCUAGAAUAAUGGCAAUUCUCUUUCACUGGAGAAAGUUUUGUAGAGAAGACAAAAGAAUUUUUACAAGUACUCCACUGGUGAAAACUCAUAAACCUUGAAGCUGAGCUGAUGAUCUUUUAAAUAAAAAACUACAACCACCUGUCUUAAUCUAGAGACUACUCAGUGGUUGAUUUUUCAGGAUUGGAGCCAGGCUGUCUGGGUUCAAUUACAGGCUCUUAGACUUUGAAUUUGUUUCUUAACUGCUCUGUCCCUAAAUUUUCUUUCUUUUUUUCUUUAUUAUUAUUUCUUUUUUGGUAAAACAGGAUUUAUAAGUAGUAUAUGCCUCAUAAAAUUGCUGGAAGAAUUAAAUGAAUUAAUUUAUGUAGUGUACUUAGAAGAGCAUUUAUGUUAGCUAGUAUGUGUCUACUUACUUUGACCUCCCAUUGGAUUGUAAAAGCUGGAGAACAAGGGCUCUGUCUUAUUUUGCUGAUGUUUUCUUCAGUGCUGGGACUAGGGUGAGGUGAGCGAAGCACCUGACUGGCUGCAAAAUUCAGUGAGAGUGUAGGGGAAGCAAAAAACAUAAACAACCAAGAUAAAUAAUAUUUUAGUGCAGUGCUUUUAAAAAUCAAAAUUAGUGGCCGGGCGUGGUGGCUUAUGCCUGUAAUCCCAGCACUUUGGGAAGCCCAGGUGGGCAGAUCACAAGGUCAGGAGAUCGAGA